ACACAGGUUUUUAUAAAAUCCACCCAAGAAAAUUUAAUUAAUAUUGU
rfam:Papio anubis isolate 1X1155 chromosome 11, whole genome shotgun sequence.